GCGGCGGACGGGUGAGUAAUGCUUAGGAAUCUGCCAUUUAGUGGGGGACAACAUUCCGAAAGGAAUGCUAAUACCGCAUACGUCCUACGGGAGAAAGCAGGGGAUCACUUGUGACCUUGCGUUAAUAGAUGAGCCUAAGUCGGAUUAGCUAGUUGGUGGGGUAAAGGCCUACCAAGGCGACGAUCUGUAGCGGGUCUGAGAGGAUGAUCCGCCACACUGGGACUGAGACACGGCCCAGACUCCUACGGGAGGCAGCAGUGGGGAAUAUUGGACAAUGGGGGGAACCCUGAUCCAGCCAUGCCGCGUGUGUGAAGAAGGCCUUAUGGUUGUAAAGCACUUUAAGCGAGGAGGAGGCUCUCUUGGUUAAUACCCAAGAUGAGUGGACGUUACUCGCAGAAUAAGCACCGGCUAACUCUGUGCCAGCAGCCGCGGUAAUACAGAGGGUGCGAGCGUUAAUCGGAUUUACUGGGCGUAAAGCGUGCGUAGGCGGCUUUUUAAGUCGGAUGUGAAAUCCCCGAGCUUAACUUGGGAAUUGCAUUCGAUACUGGGAAGCUAGAGUAUGGGAGAGGAUGGUAGAAUUCCAGGUGUAGCGGUGAAAUGCGUAGAGAUCUGGAGGAAUACCGAUGGCGAAGGCAGCCAUCUGGCCUAAUACUGACGCUGAGGUACGAAAGCAUGGGGAGCAAACAGGAUUAGAUACCCUGGUAGUCCAUGCCGUANACGAUGUCUACUAGCCGUUGGGGCCUUUGAGGCUUUAGUGGCGCAGCUAACGCGAUAAGUAGACCGCCUGGGGAGUACGGUCGCAAGACUAAAACUCAAAUGAAUUGACGGGGGCCCGCACAAGCGGUGGAGCAUGUGGUUUAAUUCGAUGCAACGCGAAGAACCUUACCUGGUCUUGACAUAGUAAGAACUUUCCAGAGAUGGAUUGGUGCCUUCGGGAACUUACAUACAGGUGCUGCAUGGCUGUCGUCAGCUCGUGUCGUGAGAUGUUGGGUUAAGUCCCGCAACGAGCGCAACCCUUUUCCUUAUUUGCCAGCACUUCGGGUGGGAACUUUAAGGAUACUGCCAGUGACAAACUGGAGGAAGGCGGGGACGACGUCAAGUCAUCAUGGCCCUUACGACCAGGGCUACACACGUGCUACAAUGGUCGGUACAAAGGGUUGCUACCUAGCGAUAGGAUGCUAAUCUCAAAAAGCCGAUCGUAGUCCGGAUUGGAGUCUGCAACUCGACUCCAUGAAGUCG
rnacentral:rRNA from 1 species